UUUGUGACCGUCACUAACGGGCA
rnacentral:miRNA from 3 species